rnacentral:rRNA from 1 species
GCGCAGCAGUCGAGAAUAGUCUACAAUGGACGAAAGUCUGAUAGUGCGACGCCGUGUGUGCGAUUUAAUUCCUUCGGGAUGUAAAGCACUUUUCUAUGAGAUAAAAGCUCUUUAGGUUAAUAGCUUAUUGGACGGAUAUUAUUAUAGGAAUAAGCUCCGGCUAACUCCGUGCCAGCAGCCGCGGUAAUACGGAAGGAGCGAGCGUUGUCCGGAUUUACUAGGCGUAAAGGGCUAGUAGGCGACUAAUUAAGUUAUAUGUUAAAUCCCGUGGCUCAACUGUGGUCCUGC